CUUAGAAGCAGCCAUUCAUUUAAAGAGUGCGUAACAGCUCACUAGUCAAGAGAUUUUGCGUGGAAAAUGUAACGGGGCUAAACGUAAUACCGAAGCUAUGGGUUCAUACAUUUGUAUGGGCGGUAGAGGAGCGUUCCUAUCAGCGGUGAAGCAGUAUUGUAAAGUAUUGUGGAGCGUUAGGAAGUGAGAAUGCUGGAAUGAGUAACCAUAAGAUAGGUGAGAAUCCUGUCGGCCGUAAGAGCAAGGUUUCCUGAGCUAUGGUAAUCAUCUCAGGGUUAGUCGGGCCUAAGCCGAGGCGCAUAGCGUAGGCGAUGGACAUCAGGUUAAUAUUCCUGAACCGGUAUAUACUUGUAUGCUAUUCACGGCGAGAUAUCCGGAGCGGAUUCAUGGUUUAUCCGUCCAACCUCGCGGGAACGCGAAGGGAGUGAAAGUUACCCUUUUGGGUGACGAUUCUGGAAAAGGCGCUGGCAAGAAAAGUAGACAUACGCGUGGUAUAUGCCGCCCGUACCGCAAACCAACACAGGUGCUCGAGUCGAGUAGACUCAGGCUUACGAGAGAACCUUCGCUAAGGAACUCGGCAAUACAGCGACCGUAACUUCGGAAUAAGGUCUGCCCCCACUUCGGUGGAUAUGUUGUCAGUUUCAUAGCUCUAUAAGGUGUGGUUAAAGAGUAUCUUUAAUACAUCAAUUCUUCUUGAGAUAGAACCAAGCUUUGGAACUGAAGCUCAACACAUCUAGCGAUGUGGGGGCCGCAGCAAAAGAGCCCACGGAACUGUUUAUCAAAAACACAGCUCUCUGCUAACACGAAAGUGGAUGUAUAGGGGGUGACUCCUGCCCGGUGCUGGAAGGUUAAGGGGAGUGCUUUACGGUGCGAACUGAAGCCCCAGUGAACGGCGGCGGUAACUAUAACCGUCCUAAGGUAGCGAAAUUCCUUGUCAGGUAAGUUCUGACCCGCACGAAUGGAGUAAUCAUGUGGGCACUGUCUCAGCGAAGGACUCGGUGAAAGUGCAUUGGCGGUAAAGAUGCCGUCUGUCCAUACCAGGACGAGAAGACCCCAUGGAGCUUUACUACAGCUUUACAUUGAUCCGGGUUUCAACAUGUGUAGCAUAGUUGGGAGACUGCGAAGCAGAUACGCUAGUAUUUGUGGAGUCGCAAUGUGAAAUACCAACCUUGUUGUGAUCUUGAUCUCACUUGUGCCGUUAUCCGGUAUGAGGACCGUGUAUGGUGGGUAGUUUAACUGGGGCGGUUGCCUCCUAAAGAGUAGCGGAGGCGUUCAAAGGUUGGCUAGCUUCGGAUGGAAAUCGAAGUGAUAGUGUAUGCGCACAAGCCAGCUUGACUGUGAGGACUACAAUCCAAGCAGAGACGAAAGUCGGAGCAAGUGACCCGCUGUAUGUACUUUGUACAAUGUAUGUGGGAACGACAGCGCACACGGAUAAAAGUUACCCUGGGGAUAACAGGCUUAUAGCGCCCAAUAGUUCACAUAGACGGCGCUGUUUGGCACCUCGAUGUCGGCUCAUCACAUCCUGGAGGGGGAGCACCUUCCAAGGGUUCGGCUGUUCGCCGAUUAAAGUGGUACGCGAGCUGGGUUCAGAACGUCGUGAGACAGUUCGGUUUAUAUCCGGUAUGGACGUUAGGAAAUUUGAGAGGAUCUGCCCCUAGUACGAGAGGACCGGGGUGGACGCACCUCUGGUGUACGGAUUGUGGCCACCUGCUGCAUUGUCCGGUAGCUAUGUGCGGACCAGAUAAGCGCUGAAAGCAUAUUAAGCGCGAAACUGACCUCAAGAUUAGAUUUCCCUAUGAGGGCCGUGAAAGACGAUCACGUUGAUAGGUGCAAGGUGGAAGUGCAGUAAUGCAUGGAGCCGAAGCAUACUAAUCGCCCCAUUGCCUUUUUA
rnacentral:rRNA from 1 species